rnacentral:tRNA from 1 species
GGUUGUGGCUCAGCGGUAGAGCGCUUGCCUCCCAUGUGUGAGACCCUGGGUUCCAUCCUCAGCACCA